rnacentral:lncRNA from 1 species
CAAAGGGAGCUAUGACUGCAGUUGCAAAAGCAUGCCGGUAGACCACCAGGACAUAGUGGCUCAUGCCUCUGUUAAGUGAAACUUUGGUGAUAAUAUUCAUGCCCGCAUAGCCGAACUGCAAUGAAAUCAUUGCAAAGUAAGGUUUGGAGCUCUCCAGGAAGCUACCACAUCUCAACUUCUCCAUUUUUCUUAACUAUUUGGGAGAAAUUUGAUGGAAAAUUCGGAAAAGAGAGAGUUUCAGUUCUGAGAAGAAAGAAAUCUAGAGGAAAAGAGAGAGGAAGAAUUGAACACCCUGAGAACAAGUGUUUGUGUUUCUCCCUAAAGGAGAAGGCGAGGAAGGGACACAUAUUUAUAUUGGUUUGGAGUGAACUGUCCAUGUCUCAGGCAUGUGGGUGCAUCUGUCAAUAUGUUACUUUACUAUACGAAAAUUUAUCUGAAAAAAGCUAGGUAAGGGAAAAUAUUACAAAGUUUUUAAACUCCUACCAUAUGAUAAAACAUCGUUUACUCUACACUAUUCUAUCAAAGACCUCUUUCAGUCCCUUACUCUCAACUGCAGCAAAUCAAAUCAUUCUAUUAGCCAAGUUUAGCAAGCCUAUAUACUUUACUAAUUACUGCUUUCAUCACAAUUUUUUAUCUUUAGAAUUAAAAUUUACAAAUAAAUUUCAUUUGUAGACUACUUAGGAAUAUUUCAUUUUUAUUAUUUACCUCAUCCGCAUUUAAAAAUUUUUUUUUUUCUCAAAUUCGACAUUCUCUCAAUAAAUUCUUGAAUAUUAAUGAAAUUUUAUCACGUCAAUGUCACGCAUAUUAAUGUAAAAAUUUUAGAUAAAAACGAAAAUAAAGUAUUUAAAAAAAGUCAUAAAUAAAAUAUAAUUAUUGAAUAUUAUAUCAUUGAUAAAUGAUUAUAAAUUAUUCAACUCUUAAUGAUGUAUAUGACAUACCAAAUAAUUGAAUCAAUAGUUGACGUGUGAGGCAGGAUUUGAUGCGGUGACAUAAAACCGAGUGAGUUCAUGGAAAGUUAUUCUUUAUGAUUAUCCAUAUUAUAUGCUAUGCUCAAUAUGCAAGAGAAAUAGAGGGUUUGGCAUUUUAAUUAUAUAUAAAAUUAUUAAUUAAUUUGUAUUUUUUUUCUAAAAGCAAGAAAGAGAGGUGGAUAACACGUGGCAAAUAGUGGUGGGGUAUCUGAGUCACUUUCUGCAUGGUUUAGUGUAGGUGAGGUAAGCUUAAAGUGACACUCUAUAGCUAUAUUAUAUCGUACUUUUUUGUUUAUUUGUAUUUUGAGAGAGAGAGAAUCAUGAUCUUGAAAUUAGGCAAAACAUAUAUUCUAGCAUCUCUUACAUUCUCUAUAGUGUUGAUUAUUCACCUAACAUGGCGUCUAAAUGUUGUGGAACAAGAUUUGGCCGUCAUGCCAUCCUCAAUUUCUUUCCAACAUGUAAAACUCUGCCAUGCAUAAAUUUUCAAUUAAUCAUCUACACACUCCAAUUUAUCCAAAUCUUUUAACGAAAUAAUAUGUCUAAUUUAAUUAAUUAUUUGAUCAAUCACGUCUAGACAAAAACCAUUAAUAAUGACUCCUUUUCAUAUCGAGCGGUCAAAUUUUUUGACUCGUACAUUGUUUUCUCGUAGCAUCUGAAUUUUUGAUAUAAAAUAUAUCUUGAUGACAAAGUAAAAAGAAAAGAAGAUACUUUCUUUGAACUUGACAUUAGAAUCUCCCGCUUUCUUUCACUCAUGCUGAUGUUUUAUAUUAAAAAAAGAAAUUGUAAAGCUAUAUUUUCUAAAUUUAAUAAUCAAUUUUUUCAUCUUAAAAGCUUACGGAUAUAUUCAUAUUUUAAAAUUUUUGACAAAAAGUAUUUUAGUUAAAUAUAAGUUAACGUUUCUUAACUCGUGAUUAAUUCAAUCAUUGAACAUUACACGUUGAUAUAUCGUAACAAAUUAAAAGACUUUAGAUUUUGCAAAUGGAAGAAGAUUGAGUAAUGAUGAAGAAAAUCUUUUUUUUUUUAUCUUAAGAAUUAUGAAGGAUUUUAUUCCAAAUAAAGAUUGGGGGAAGAAAGAGUGAUGUGUGGGGGUAGGGAAAAAAACAAAGAACAAAGAGGGGGGCCUAAAAGAGUGAAGGAAAAAAAAAAAAGGAAAGGAGUUUGCGUAGAAGACGGGACCUUUAGCGAUUUGGAUAAUUUGUAGUUGAAACUGACUCGGCGCAAGAGUGAAGCAGCAAUAACCAUCCUCUUUCUCACGCCUACACCAUUUCCUGUCUUUGGAUUAUUUUUUCUAGCUUUGUCUCAGCUGUUCGCUUCGUGCUCUUUGACCCUUUGUCCCAAUACCCAACGCAACUAGUUUCCUAACACUGUAGCUAGACAUGGAGUCACUGUUCCAAGUUACAAAGAUUAUAGCCUAGGUACUUUCUGUUUUAUUGAUGCCCUACAAGAGGAUUUAUUAAUGAAUUUUUUCCCUAUAUGUGACAGUUAAUAGGCUUGUGUUAUGUGCUCAUGCAAUUUUAAACUCUGAAAAUAAAAUUUAAGUAAACAUAAAAAAAGAAAUUUAUAUUUUUUAAAUUUAAACCUAAACUCGUGUAGUUUUAAACUUUAAAAAUAAAUAUUAAAUAAACUUAAAAACUCAAAAAAGCAAAAGCACAAGAAAGGAAGAAAUGAGAAAACUUUUUAGAGAAACAUAAUACUUUGUAUUUUUCAACAUUUAAGAUGGUAUGAGAUUGGGCUUAAGUUCCGAAACAUAAAAAUUGAGCUACACAAAGGGAUGGACCCCAUGACUUCACAAGUUCAGCCUCCUUUUCACAAUACUUUGGGGAUUUUUCUUUAUUGGUAAAUAAUUUAUAGAUUUCCUUUGCUACUUGACUGAUUGCAGCUUUUGUAAAAGGAGGUUGGAGUUGCUUGGUUGAGGGGAUUCCACUAAUGUCCCUCUUGAUCUGCCGCUAAUGGCAUUGGCAGAUGGAGCUAGGAAAAUGCUCGACCUAGAGAUUCCAUGAAAUAGGCAGUUAAUUAUUAUUUUCCAUGACAAAAUUACUAAUUGUAUUGCAUAGUUAGAGAUUGAUAUCGGAUCCGUGAGUAUGAAUUUAAACACCCCCCUUUUGAAAACUUUGGCUUCAAUAUUCUUAAUAAAUUUGAAAUUAAAUAUAAAUUUAGAUUGCCACUUGACUUCAACGUGAACAUAACAAGGGAUGAACAAAGCCAGUUGUCAUUAGGAGUGUGCAGUGGUCAGUUGCAAUUGAGCAACCGACCGCAGCCGUCAAUUGUUGCAACUCACGGUUUGGCUCAACGGGUUGCAACGAUCGGCCUCGUUGGUCGAUCGGUUCGGUCAUCAGAGGGGAUGAACUGAUCAAGAAACUGAUCAAUUAAAAUUAUUGGUAAUAUGCUAGAAUUAAUGUUAAGAAUUAUGUUUGGAAAUUUUGUUGAGAAUUAUUGUUUGGAUUUUCAAUUAAAAUGAUUGGCAAUAUGCUUGAAUUAAACAUUAAGAAUUAUGUUUGGGAAUUAUGUUGAGAAUUAUUGUUUGGAUUUUCAAUUAAAAUGAUUAGCAAUAUGCUAGAAUUAAACAUUAAGAAUUAUGUUUGGGAAUUAGGUUGAGAAUUAUUGUUUGGAUUUUCAAUUAAAAUGAUUGGUAAUAUGCUAGAACUAAACAUUAAAAAUUAUGUUUAGGAAUUAAUGUUUAGAAUUAUUGUUUGAAUUUUCAAUUAAAAUAAUUGGCAAUAUGUUAGAAUUAAACAUUAAGAAUUAUGUUUGAGAAUUAAUGUUUAGAAUUAUUAUUUGGAUUUUCAAUUACAAUGAUUGGCAAUAUGCUAGAAUUAAUGAUUGGAAUUAAUAUUUGGGUAUUUUUUUUUUUGUAGAUGUCAACUAAUGAGGAAACAAAUUUGGCAACUAGUGAGACGCCAAUAUCAACAUCAACAUCAACACCAUCAAAAUUUAAAUCCCAUGUUAUUGCUAGUUCUACUGAAGCCAACAAAACAUGUGAGGUUGUAAGCAAAAUGUGGAAGUAAAGGGAACCACCUCAAUCUACAUCGGUUGUGUGAGAUCACUUCACUAAAUGUGUUGAUUAGAAAGAUAAUAAGACGACUAAAUGUUCUCAUUGUGGUAAAGAAUUUUUGUUGAUAUAAAAAAAUGGAACAUCUUCAUUGAAUAAUCAUAUUAAAGUUUGUUCGAAGUUGAAAUUGGUUCAUGAUAGUGAGGAGAACAAGUAAAUGGAAUUAGUUUUUAGUUCGAGAGGAGAUGAGCUAGGUAGUUGGAAGUUUGAUCAAGAGACAAUUAGGAGAAGUUUAGCUAAGAUGAUCAUUUAGGAUAAAUUGCCUUUUAAGUUUGUGGAAAGUGAAUGAUAUAGGAAACAGAUAAACAAAGUAUGUCAUAGAUUUUGUAUACCAUCACAAUGGAUUGUUGCUAGGGAUUGUUAUAAAAUUUAUAUUAAUAAAAAAAACUCAGAUGAGAAGAUUGUUAAGAUCAUGUCCUAGUAGAAUGCGUCUCACCACUAACACAUGGACUUCAAUACAAAGAAUUAAUUAUAUGUGUUUAACUGUCCAUUUUAUUGAUAAUGAUUGGAAGUUGUAAAAAAAGAUUUUGAACUUUUGUCCCAUUACUAGUCAAAAAGAUGAGUCCAUUGGUCAAGCAAUUAGUAAAUGUUUGCUUGAUUAGGGGAUCCAAAAGAUUUUUUCUAUCACUGUUGAUAAUUCUAGUUUAAAUGAUGUUGCAAUAGGACAUUUGAAGAAAAUAAUUUAAUGUUGCUAGAACUAGUAUUUUAGGAGGUAGAGUUUUUCAUGUGAGAUGCAUUGCUCAUAUUGUAAUCUUAUGGUGUUUGAUAGAUUGAAGGAUAUCAAUAACUCAAUAGCUCGUGUUAGAGAUGCAAUGAGAUAUGUUAGACAAUCCCUUGCUAGAUUAGCCAAGUUUAAGGAGUGUGCUACUAGUGCGGUAGUUGAGAGCAAGUGUUUAUUGUGUUUGGAUGUGAGCACUAGAUGGAAUUCUAUUUUUUUGAUGUAGGGUACAACUUUGAAAUUUCAAAGGGCUUUUGCAUCAUUUGAGUUGUGUGAAAAUAGCUACAUACAUGAGCUAAUAAGGUUGGGAGAUAGCGUGCUCGAUGAUAGAGAUUGAGCAAAUAUGAGGAGGAUUUCUCAUUUCUUGAGAGAAUUUUAUAAUUUGACCUUGAGUGUUUUAGGCACAUUUUAAUAACUGCUAAUUCUUUACUAGAUUCCAUUUUUAAUGUGUAUACCACUUUGAUUGAAUGGCAAAAUGGUGAUGAUGUUGAUUUAUGGUCUAUGCCAAUUAAAAUGAAAGAGAAAUUUGACAAGUAUCGGGGGAAUGAGGACAAAAUGAAUUUAGUGUUGUUCAUUGUCAUUAUACUUGAUCUGAGGAAAAAGCUUUCUUAUGUUGAAUUCACUUUGCUAGAAAUGUAUCCUCCCACACAAGCCUCAAUGAUGUUUUUUUGGGUGACACAAACAAUGGAUGAGUUGUUCGUUGUUAUAGAAAUAUGUCACAAUCUUUAUCUCAUGUUGGUUAAAGAGGUUAAGAGUGUCCAACACCCAUCGGACAAGGCACUAGUGAUAUUUGUAGUAAUAGCGUUGCUUCAAUUUUGAUUGGCAAUGACAUAAAACAUACUAAAAAAAGAUUGGAUAGGUUCAAGAAGCACCGGUUAAACACUAGGCCAAAAGAGCUGAAAACGGAAUUGGAGAAAUAUUUAUUUGAGCCUGUAGAUGAUGAGGGUUUCAAUGAUGAUGAGUUUGAUGUUCUCAUGUGGUGGAAACUCAAUCAAUUUAGGUUUUCUAUGCUUGUCGCUAUCAUUUGUGAUGUUUUGACUGUUCCCAUAUCAACAGUUGCUUCAGAGUUCACUUUUAGUACUAGUGGACUUUUGCUUGAUGCAUAUAGGAGUUCUUUGACUCCUAAGGUAGUGCAAGCACUUAUUUGUGCUCAAGAUUAGUUACAUGGAUUGGCAUGUGGUGAUUCAGAUUUGAUUAAGGAUGAUUUGGACGAGCUCGACAAACUUGAUUUUGGUAAUUAUUUUAUAAUUUUAUUUGUAAUUUAAUUUAUUAGAUUUGUCAAAGAUCAAUUUACUAUAUUUGUUAUUUUAUUUUUAGUUUUGUCUAAUAUUGCAUUGGAGACAAUAGCUGAGUUUGAGCCUGAGUCAGACUAACGUGUUAUUUCCAUUAGCUAUUUGCACUUUUCAAGUAAUGUUAUCAUUAGGUACUAUGCAAUAUUUACAUUAGAAUUAUAAUUCAUUUAGGUUAUCUUACCACAAUAAUAUACACUAUUUAUAUAUUUGUUUUUAACCUUUUUAGAAGCAUGUUUUGCAAAAUUGUUGAAUUGGAGUUGGAGGUCCAUCUUUUAAAAUUUAGUGAUUUAUGUUAUGAAACUUUGAGUUAUGUAACUUCUAAUCCAAAAUUAAAGUCAUAAAGGAUAUCUCUUCUUUGUUUAUUUAUUGUAUGAUGAUUAAUGAUGAUUUCUUUGUGAUCAUAUUUAAUUAAUUGGCUUAAACUUAUAAAACUUUUGAAACUAAUGUUUAUUUAUUAUAUAAAGAUUAAUGUUUAUUUAUUGAAUGAAGAUUAAUAUUAUUAACCAUUUGAAAGAAAUAAAUAGGUCCAAAGGAUUACAUAUAAAUAAAUGGACCCAGAGUGGCAAUUUACAAGGGGUUUUGUAAAAAAGCUUAAGUCAAACAAAAAAAAAAUGCCAUUUACAAAGGGUAACACAAAAAAAAGCUCAAGUCAACCCAUUUCAAAAACUGACUUAAGAUCGACUGAACUAAGGUCAGUUUUAACCAACCGAAACUAAGUUCUUGCAUGGUUUGGUUAGGUUGGUUUAUAGAACAAAUUUCUUAGUCGAUUUUUAUCAAAACCGAAUCAAAAAUUGACUAAACAGAACCAAGCUCAUCCCUAGUUGUCUCGUAGUUUUUACUAGUUUUACAAAUUUGUAUUUCUAAUUAAUUGAUGUUUUGCAUAAUAUUUACAUCAUUUUGCUCAAAAUUCAAAUAUUGAGGACAUAUAGUCAAUAAAUGAAAUCACUUGGGUUAAGGUUUUGACUAAAGAGAUCUUGAUAUUGAGCUAUAAUAUCUUCUCUUAUUAACAAGGAAAAAAAGAAAACUAAAAAUAAUUUCCCAUCUAUUCUAUUAGUUUUUCUUUUUAAAUUUUUUAAUAUAUAUAUGAAAUCAAAGAUUGCAUGUAAGAUUUUUAAAAGGGUAUUUUUUAAAGUUUUUCUUUCAGUAAAUGUCAAUAGCACGUGGCUUCCCCCCAUUGGUCUUAGUUGCCCACUUACCUCUUCAGUGGAGAGUCUUGAAAGUACUUUUGAUAUGGAGAUUGUUUGCCUAAGCUUGCUAAUGUUACAACUAAUACAAGCUUGAUUAGUACAUGUGGACAAAACUUUCAUAUCUUGUUUCCUUUUGCUUCGUUGUAUUGGUUGUUUUGAUGCACCUUUGUUUAAGCUUUUUUUUUUAUGCUGGAAAUUCUCGCAGGGCUCAGCUACCCUGUAAUCGUUUUAUUAAGAAUCGAAAAAAUUAAGUACAAUGGAGAGGGGGACAUAAAUCGAACCUCCAAAGUUACAUGAGUUCGAGAAAGAUAAAAAAAGGUACUUGAAAUGGAAAAUUUCAUUUUAUGUGCAUAUUUUUGAAUGCUAUUAUAAAAUUGAAACUUUUCCAUAUUACAAGAAUCUAAGUAAUAAAAAUAACAGAAAUAAAUUAGGAGUUCUACUCCUUUACAUUUAUUUAAAAUGAACAUAUGGUAAAUUCAUUUUAUCUAAUUUAAUUAUACCUCUGAGCUGACCUUCUGCUUGUGAAAAUACCUGUAGGUUAUAGUGCGUAUGCCCCUGAUUUAAGAUAUGAUCUGCAGCCUGGAUCCCUUCUUUAUGGAUGUGUGAAAUACGAAAAGACAUACCACUCAAGCAUCUAUGGAUGAAAGCUAGCAAAUACCGAGUCUUGGAAGAACCCUGAUGGUCCUCUUGUAUCAUUUGUACCAUAACUUUUACAUCCAUUUCUAUCCAAAGUCUAGUAACAUUAUACUCAAUGCAUAAAAGCAAACCCCUUAUGUAGUGCCAUUAACUCUGCCUGUAAUGAAUUAUAAGGUUCACAAUUUUCAGAAAAUCCAAAAAUCAUGGUACUUGUAUGAUCCCAAAGAAGUCUUCCUCCAACAGCAUUCUGAAAAUUAUCCUUGGAACUACUAUUAACAUUUAACUUAAACUCACCUGCUAAUGGUUUGUGCCAAGAAAAUAUUUUUGGUGGAUGUGGUGAUGCUUGUUGAAAUAUUAGACCCCAUGCUUGAGCAAUUUGUAAAUCACCCUUCCAUUGCCAACGAUGGAAUUGCCUCUCCUGGAAUAGUUGCUGGAUGAGUUUUAAAACUCUCCACACCACUCUAUUGGAAUACAUACCAAGGUUCCUAUGCUUCGCAUCAUUUUGUUCAACCCAUAUAAACCAAAAAAUAAAUAAAGGCAUUAACGUGCGGAUGUGCCCUUUUUUCGUAUAAUCACCAAAGUACAACCAUGCCCAUAUAAUCUGAUAAACAUUCUGGGGGUGAGUAAUGUAGCUUUGGAAGAAUUUUGUAAAAUAAUUCCAAACUUGUGUAGCUACAGGACCUUCCCAGAUGACAUGCAAGAGAGACUCCUCUGAGUUGCAAUGUUGGCAUUUAGAAGCCAACUGGAAACCCUUGGUUUUCAACCUCAAAUUGACUGGAAUCCAAUUUUGUAACAACCUCCAUAGAAAGAAAGAAGUGGUAAGAGGAGUGCUUUUAUGCCAAAUUAAAUUGAACACAGGAUUUACUAACUGUUGUUGUCAAAUUAUCUCCCAAGCAGACUUAGUAGUGAAUUGCCCAUCCAAAGUAGGUGCCCAAUAUGCCAUAUCUAUAUUGGAUGGAUCUAUCGGGAUUUUUAGGAUUUUCGCCACAACCUCUUCCGGCAACACAUUAUUCAACUUACCCACAUCCCAUGUGCCAUUAUCAUAGAAGUAGCAGACUCUUGUCAUAGAUGAUGCAAAGGAUAGAAAACGAUUAACUAGGGGUGCUUCACCCAUCCAACAAUCAUGCCAAAAAAAUAACUAACCCUUUCCAAUCCGCCACCUAAUGUGUUGUUCUGUAACCGGGUAGCUAGCUAACAUCCGUUUCCAUGUCUGUGAAUCAUGAAGUUUCUGCUGCUUCAUAUGUUAAUCAUGCACCUUUGUUUAAGCUUGAUAUGUUAUGCUGUUUUACAAGUGUUAAUCGUGCACUCAUUGUAUUUAUGGAUAUUAACUUCUUUUUUUAAUAUCAUAAAAGCUCUGCUUUGCUUGUUUUAGUUUUGUACAUUGGUAAAACUAUGAUCUUUAUUGUUUUUCUUUCAGCCAUAACAUGGUAUCAAAUCAUUUAUGUUAUGGUACCAGUAAAAGAAGCAUUUGACACACUUCCAGAAGAAUUCCAAAGGUCAAAUAAUACAAGGCAGUUGUAAGUAUUUAACCUCAUGAAGGAGUUUAAAAUUCUCCGAAUGAAAGAUUCUGAGAUAGUAAAAGAUUACAUAAAUAAAGUAACCAAAAUUGUAAACCAAGCAAGGUUGCUGGGACAAAAGAGUACUAGAGAUUCAAGUUGUGCAAUAGGUGCUUAUUUCUUUACCAUAGAGGUUUGAAACCACAAUUUCCUAACUAGAAGUGUCAAAAAACCUAGCUAAGCUCACUUUAAAUGAUGUUAUCAAUGCACUUUAAGCUACAGAUCAGAGAAGAGCUAUGAGGUUAAGUAGCAGUUUUAAAAGUGCAAUGAUAACAAGGCAUAAAGCCAAGACAGUUGGUGACUUAAAGUAGAGAAAGAUGUCAUCUGAUCAGAAAGAAAAAGAACAAAAAAGCUUUCAAGGGAGUAAGCCUCAAAAUAAGGGCGAUAAAUUCCACCAUGCAGCUUUUGUAAAAAAAGAAAUUAUGUAGAAGUAAAUUGCUAGUUCAAACUAAAUGUUAAAUGUAGGAUUUGUAAUCAGCAAAGGCAAAUAGAUAGGAUAUGCAAGAACAAGUCACAGUUACAAGAAAAUAAUCCUUAGACAACAACACAGGAAGCUGACAAGGCAAUGGUAACAGAAAAUGUACUUUUUAGGACUUUAACAAAGUCAAUUUUUGAGAUUUAAGGUCAAUGGUUCCUUGAUAGUGCAUGCAGUAACCAUACGAUUCCUAAAGCUAAAAUGUUUGCUUACUUUAAUACUAAUUACUACUCCAUUGUGGAAAUUGGUAAUGGAGUCUUGUUAAAGGUAGUUGGGAAAGGUAUUAUGGCCAUGAAAACUUCAUCAAGUUCUAGGUAUGUGCUUAAGGUCUUACUAGUUCCAGAAAUUUCUCAAAAUCUUUUAUAUGUUGGUCAGUUAGUAAAUGAUAACUAUACUUUAUUGUUUAAAAAUCGUUCAUGCACUAUAUAUAGUCCUACUGGUGAAUGUUUAAUUAUAGUGGCUAUGAAAAAGAAAUGAUUUCUUAUUGAUUCGAAUAAUAUUUGUUUGACUGCAUUUGAAGAUUCAUCUUGUUAAAUAUCAUUGUGGCAUAAAAGGCCAGGCCACUACUAUUACAAGUUACUUCUACAGGCUAACUCUUCUAGUAUGCUAGAAACUUUACCAAAGCUGAAUUAAGCAAGACUUGUGUGCAGUACAUGAGUUAAACAGAAAACCUUUCCCUUAUCCAAGCAUGAAUAGAGUAGUUAAUAAACUUGAUCUUGUAUAUACAAAUGUUGUAAGGCCAAUAAGUGAACCAUUUUUAAAUGGAAGUAAAUAUUUAAAUGGAAGUAAAUAUUUCUUGCUUUUUAUCGAAGAACUGACCAAAAUGUGUUGGAUUUAUUUUCUUGUAUAGAAAUUUGAAGUUUUCAAUAACUUUUAGAAAUUUAAAACAAGUGUAGAGCUGCAAACAAGGAAAAAAAGUAAAGCAUUGAGAUAUGAUAAUGGCGGGGAAUAUACAACAACGGAGUUUACUCAGUUUCUUCAAAAUCAUGGCAUUGAUCACCAACUAAUUGCUUUCUAUACUCCACAUCAGAAUGAAGUAACUAAAAGAAAGAAUUGCAUAGCGAUUAAGAUGAUAAGGUGUCUGCUAUUUGGGAAAAGAGUCCCUAAAUCUUUCUGUGCAAAAACUACCAACAUAGCUAUUUAUCUGUUAAAUCUUUGCACUUAAGCCUUAAACAAUCUAACUCCUUGUGAGGCUUGGUUUGGGAAGAAACCUUCAAGUGAGCAUCUCAGAACAUUUGGAUGCAUCUGUUAUCAACAUGUACCAACUGAACUCAGAGAUACGUUGCAGCCAAAGGCAGUGAAAGGUAUACUUGUAAGCUAUAGUUCAAACUCUAAAGCUUACAAAAUAUACCAAAUUGAUAUUGGUAAGAUUACCAUUAAUAGAAAUGUCAUUUUUUAUGAAAAUUCAAGUUAGGAUUGGGAGAAUCACAACACUACCAGUGCUCUUAUUUUGAUGACAACAGCAGAUAGUUUGAUAACUCUUGCAGAUGAAACAGUAAACGACUUUCCUAUUAGAGGAAUUAUAAGCAUUAUUGAUGUAUACGAUAGAUGUCAAGUGGCACUAGCAAAACCUAAAAGUUAUGAAGAUGCUUCCCAACACAAAGAAUGGUUAACUAUUAUGAGAGAAAAAUUGAAAAUGAUUGAAUAGAAUCAUACUUGGUCUUUAAUGGAUAAACCAAAGCACCAUGUUCUUGGUGUUAAAUGGGAAUUCAAAAAUAAGUUUGAUUCAAAUGGUUCACUCAACAAAUACAGAGUGAGGAUAGUUGUUAAAGGCUUUGCUCAGAUUAUUGGAGUUGACUACCAGGAGACAUUUGUUCCAUUUGCCAAAAUGGAUACCAUUUACAUAUUAUUUGCUAUGUUUGUAACUUUUAAUUAGAAAGUCUUCCAUUUAGAUGUUAAGUUAGCUUUUCUAAAUGGAAGAUUGGAUGAAGAAAUUUAUGUUGAGCAACUAGUUGAGUUUGAAACUAAGCCUCAUUAGGACAAGGUACAUCGGUUUCAUGAGACACUAUAUGGCUUAAAAUAGGCUUUUCAAUCCUGGUACAACAGAGUUGAUGAAUAUCUAAAAAAUCAUCUUUUUCUUAAGGGUUAAAAUGAAGCUACGUUGUAUGUCCUAAAGAAAAACAAUCAAGCUGUAGUAAUAGUCUCAUUGUAUGUUGAUGAUAUGCUAAUGAUAAGAGAAAACAAUGAGGCCAUUAUGAAAUUCAAAGAUGCAAUGCAAUUGGUGUUCAAAAUGUCAGAUCUUGGUGAGGUUAGUUAUUUCUUGGCCUUCAGAUAACUUAAGACAACCAUGGCAUCUUUGUGUCAUAAAGAAACUAUGUGAAUGAUGUUUUGAAGAGGUUCAAGAUGAAUAAUUAUAAGGCAACAAUAACUCCACUUACAAAAAAUAAGAAGCUAUUUGUUAACUCUAAAGAGAAGCUUGAUAAUCUUUUAACUUACAGAAGUUAGAUUUGUUCACUUCUCUAUAUUUUUGGUACAUGGCUUGAGAUAAUGUUUUCAGCCAAUUAUUUGUCUUAGUUUAUGUAAGCACCAACACAAACACAUUACUCUGUUGCAAAGAGAAUCUUUGGAUAUUUGAAAGGGACAUCUGACUUUGGUCUUCACUUCACUUGUUUUGAUGGAAACUUAAAGAAGAAUUAACUUAGCAUAUAAGCCACACAUGCAAGAGAGCUAUACACACAUAGCCUACAUAAAUAGACAUGUAUUGGACAACCUAAAUGAAGAGAGUCAGAUAGCUACUAAGAAGAGUAGCAACUAAGUAAAGUAUUCUAAGGCAUUUAGAAUUCUUUCCAUAUUUAAAUUUUUCCUUACUUGUUGAUUGUUUUACUCGUACAAUAAGUAAGUUUAGUUUUUAAGAUAUUUAUUUUUACGUCAUUUACUUUACUUGCACUCUAAAGAAGUCUAGGAUUAGAAUACUUUCUUAUUUAAUUUACUUGCUUUACAAGUAAGUUUAAGAUGGGCUAUCUAUAAAUAGUCCCUUUAUGUUUCAUUGUAAAAUUGAACAGAGUAAUCAAACUAGUUGGAUUCUUUGACAGUGAUUGGGCAGGCUCUAUUGAUGAUGGUAAGAGCAUUUCUGGUUAUGUCUUUUCUUUAAAAAAUGGUUCUUUUUCUUGAAACUCGAAGAAACAAGACAUAGUAGCCCAGUAUUUUUCUGAGGCAUAAUAUGUUGUAGCAGUAAAAGUUGCAAAUCAAGCUAUAUAGGUGAAAAAAAUCUUGGUUGAUUUCUCAAUUCCUCAAACAUCAGCAACUCAACUGUUUAUGGAUAAUAAAUCCUCUUUUUUAAUGCCUAAGAAUCUUGUCUUUCACAACAAGACAAAGCAUAUUAGUGUGAAAUAUCAUGCAUUGAGAGAAGUCAAAAAGAAUAAAGAAAUCAACAUCCAGCAUUACUACUUCAGUGAACAAUUAGUAGACAUUAUAACAAAGUCUCUGCUUAAGCCCAGAUUUGAACAUCUUAAAAGUCUGCUUAAUGUUCAUCAAGCUAAUAUUAAGGAGGAGUGUUACAACUAAUACAAGUUUGAUCAAUACAUGUGGACAAAACUUUUAUAUCAUGUUCUUUUUUACUUCGUUGUAUUGGUCGUUUUGAUGCACCUUUGUUUAAGCUUGAUAUGUGUUAGCAUGCAUGCAAGCUUUAUGCUUAGAUUAACAUUUGUAUUUGUUAUGCUGUUUUGUAGGUGUUCAUCAUGCACUCAUUGUAUUUAUGCUUGUAACUUCUUCUUAGGCAAUGAGAUGAAUAUGUUUUCUUAAAAUUAGCUCCUUUCUUCAAUAUCAUAAAAGCUCUGUUUUGCUUGUUUUGGUAAGAAAGUGAUCUUUAUUGUUUUUCUUUCAACCAUAAUAGCCAAUAGUAUUGCAACCAACCUAUUCCACUUUUUCCAUAUUCAGUUGUAUUGUAACCUUUGAUUUACCAAACCUUGAGUUUUCAAUUACCUCCUCUCCUACCUAUUUCACAACCUCUUUAUCCUAUCUUUGUUUAGCAACUCCGCCCUUAGGUAAUUCUUGACUGCCCAAUAAUACUUCUUUGAAGGUUCCCGUGUCUUUCUUAGCUUCGCCAUAGCCUCUCGAACCAUCAUCCUUUGGAGUAUUUUUCCCCCUAGAGAUACACCUUUCAUUCUAAUCAAUAUAAACCUUAUGUAUGCUUAUGGCUUUACCUUUAAUCAUCCUCUUGUCUCCCCUUUCCACCAUGGCUCACAUUUUGGUCUCUUCUUUGUAUCUCAUGAAAACGAAGUUAGUGCUUCAUUUCCUCAUUCUUAAGUUAUUCCAUAAUAUGAACAAAUCCAUUACUUUUUUGAACUUGAAGAAUACCUCAUAAAGUUCUUCCUAGGUUACCUUCUUGCUUAAAUUUUAUAAAGGCCAUAUGCAGAUUUAAAACCAAAGUGCCGGUGAAAGCAAACCCUUUCUAUUUUCCUAUCGAUGUUUUCUUUUUCCUCUCUUCUCUCAUAUUUUUUAAUACGAACUAGUUUUUUUUACCUGUUAUAUCAUUUCAUUGACAAAAUAAGCAUAUGAUCAUUGUCUUCUACAUCAUUAUAGUUCUUUAACCCUUGAUUAGAGUGAAAAGAUAGAGCAAUAUUUUUUUUAUCUGCUUUCUACCUUUAUUUUUGGUUUUAAUCCAAGUUUCACUCAUCUUUACUGUCUUACCACUAUUGAAGAUACUAGCCUUAACUCUACUAUAGUAAACAUCAAGGCACAAUAUGGAUCAAAGAUGAUAAAGUCAACUAAUCUAGAACAAGUAAAUGAAGAUAAAGCUUAGCUUGAUCAAGUCAAUGUAGUUGGAUCUCAAGUCCAAGGCCACACAUUCUCUCUUUUGUAGAUUAAUGGAAAUGUUAUUAAAGUUAAUUUGCGUGAUUGAAAAAUGCUAGCUCAUGAUUAUGAAUGAGAUUAAGGGAGGUAUGUUUUAUAGAAUAAUGUUGUAGAGAUGUUAUAUAUAAUAAAAAAAUGAUCUCAUACAUCGUUAGUGAAGUUUUUAAAUUUCACCAACAAAGAUUAUAGGGUUACACAUAUUAUAUUCAAAUAUGUAAAAAAAUUAAUAAAUUAUUUGAUAAACAAAAGGAUGCAAGAUAAUAUUUUAAUAUCGUUUGGGAAAUUUAAACACUUCACCGAUUGUGUAUAGAAAAUAGUUCAUAUAUGAACCAUUAUUGGUCAAAUUAUACAAUUAGUCUCUAUACUCUAUCAAAAUGGUAGAUUUUGUCCUUAGACAAUAAUUUGUAAAAUUUAAGUCCUUAUACUUUCCAAAAUUGACAAUAUUAGUCUAAUAUGUUAAAAAUUUUCUAUUAUCUAUAUUGAUAUGGGGUUUGGUUGUGUUGACAUGACAUUUUCAUGUUGAUGUGACAUUGAAUUUGAUAACAUGGCAAUGAUAAUAUGGCAUUUCACGAAUGAUGCAAUAAUAGUGCUGAUAUGACGUGAUCAAUUACUAACAUGGAUUUUAUAAGUGUGCACAUGGAAUUAUCUAGUGUGAGUUAAUGGUCUUAAACAAGAUUAGAGAAAAUACAAAUCAAAAUUACGAAUAGGUUUUAGGAUUUAGGAAAAGAGUGUCAUGAGAUAGAGAAAUGUGAAAUCCCACCUUAAGCAAGUAGAUAAGUUAGGAAAUCCUUAGGUGAGCACAUCGAUUACAUGUUUUGACUAUCAAACUUAGUUUUGACUUUCAAAAGAACUCAUUGACACUUUUAGUUAUCUGUCACUUUUGAAGCUAAAAAUUUUCUAAGAUUGGAAAAUAUCAAAAUAUGUAAUUUUUAUAAAAUAAUUUUUUUGAAAUAAAAAAUAGCAGUAAUGAUUCCCUUGAUUUUUAGAUGACCAAAAAUGAUUUUUUUCAUAAUUUUUAGAAUAUGUUUGCUAUGCUAAAUGGGAAUCAUAAAUUUAAUUUCAGUCAAAUUUUUUUUAUUUUGUUCUUAAAAUCAAAAUUUAGAUUUUGAUUCUUUUGGAUUUUGAUAUUUUUAUUGAAUCCAAAUGGGGGGUUAUUGGCUUAUUUACAUUAAAUAUCUUAAGUAAAUGGAGAGUAAAAAAUAAAGAGGAUAUUUACUUAAAUGGUAUUUAAUGUAAAUAAGCUGGGUAGGUUUUAUAGGCAAACUGUCUUAAAAAAUUGCAUUAUUGAUACAUGUUCAUGAUGUAUCGAUACAUUUAGUCCAAAAAGUGUUUCGAUGAACAUGUAUCAAUACAUGCUCAUAAUGUAUCAAUACAUGGGUCAAUGUAUCGCUACAUUUCAUCGAUUUUUGAAAAAAUAAAAAGGGUAAAAGGGUAUUUUCACACCCCAUAGUAUAAAUAUAACCCCUAACCCGAGGGUUUUUUGUUUUAAGUUGCCUUCCAUCAAUUUUUCAGCAACUCUAAGCUCUUUCAAAUCCAUUUUCACCCCAAGUCAUCACUUUAGAAGAUUGAAAGCUUGGUUUUAGGAUUUUCAAACAAAGGCGAUAACUUUCAACUUUUAAAUAUUGAUUUAUGAAUUUUUCAGCAGUAAAAAUAUUAUUUUUAUGCUCAGAUUUUCUGUUGAACACUAAAGCUCAAAGAUUUUGUGAUUUUCCUUAGCAUUAAAGCUCACCUAAGGUAAAGAUGAAAGAUUUAUGGGUUUCUAAGUGUGGGUUUUAGCUAGAAAAUUAAUUUAGUUAAAAGUGAGUAGUUUUGAAAGUACCUAGAAUGAUUAUUACAUGAUUCUUAUUCUAGGAAAUGAUUGUAAUGAAUGUUGUGUGACAGGAACACGUGAAAACUCCACGAAUUUCAUAGCAACCAGUCUCGCGGAUACCAAUGUCCUAUCUUCAUUCUUUGGUAGGUGUCUAGUAACCACUUGAUGCCUAAAGGGUUGGUCACGUUCCAUUGACGAGUCGAUCUUGUAGUUUAUGUUUGUGUUUACAGACUAUGAACGCGUUUAUGUUAACAUUGCCAAUGUUGGGCAUUUAUAUUGAUAAUGUUAUGUAUGAGAUUAUGAUGACGGCUCGAGAGCCUACAUGGACAUUCAAGGGUGUUGUUGAUAGCAAAUGUUAACGUGCACUAUGAUAAUGGCACUUUUCAUAUGUAUAUGUAUACCAAAUGCUUCAGCUCAUACAAUUAAGUUGAGAUUGUAUAAUGAGUUUUAUGAAUGUAUGUAUUAUGAUUAUGUACGUUAAUAGAUGUUAUAUGAUGUUUUCGCAUGUGAUGAUGAAUGUUUGAUGAUGUUAUGAUAAGAGAUUUACUUGGGCGUAACGGGUUAUGCUCAUCUAGGUCCAUGCAUCGAUCAUGAUCCCUCCAGGAAAUAGGAUGUGAUAAGAAGAAUUGAAUCUCUGUGCUUCAUAAUUUAAAGCAGUGAAAAGAGUGUUAGGAAAUAGAUAAAAAACUAUCACGUCAUCAUUAACAGAUCAUCACAUUCAAUGCUACAUCAACAAGAAAAUGCCAUGUCUAUAUAAACAACAGAAAAAUUUUAAUACUAUUAACAAUUGGGUUGACAUUGUGUAAGAGAUAAAAUUUAUUUUUAAUUUAAUUUUACUCUUAGUAAACAUAUCAAUAGUUACUGAGUUUAGUUACUGAUAACUGGUAUUUGACAAUUUAGUCCUUGUAUUUUUCUUACAUGGGCAACUUUUACUAGCCUAUAUAAAAGUUGGUUUGUGUAUUGAAUUUGUUUGAGUUGAGUAAUAAAGAAAAAUUCCUAAACAUGCUCUUUCGUUUUCUCUUUAGGUUUCCAAAUUCUUCUUGAAAUUUCUUGUUCACUCACAAGAUAUUAGAGCCCAAAACCUAGGGUUCUUGAUCAAGUUUCUUGAUUUCUUGUUUGGUUGGUCUUAAUUUCUUCAUUGCAUUCAAGAUUUUUAUUCAAUUACUGUUAGUUUAGUUGAAAACAUGGUGAAUCCAAUAAGUACACACACAGCUCCUUUGCCACUUGAGGAUCUUCAAUUGCCUCAUUUUCUCCACCAAAGUUUACUUUCAUGAACUACUCAUCUUGGAACAGGUCAAUUACUUUGGCUUUAUCAAUUCGUAAUAAACUAGGAUUUAUAGAUGGAUCGAUUAAAAAACAUGUUGUUACUAAUAGCCUUUAAAUGCCUUAGAUGUGUUGUAAUAAUUUGAUUGUGGCUUGGUUACUUGAAUUUGUUACUCUUGCCAUAGCUUCUACUGUUUUUUAUCAAGACACAACUGUUGAAAUAUGGGACACUCUUAAGCAUAAGUUCUCACAGCCUAAUGAUGUGAGAAUCUGUAAUCUUCAAUAUACUCUUAAUGGAAUUAUGCAAGGAAAUAGAUUAAUGGACUUUUAUUUUACAAAUUUGAAUUUUGUUUGGGAAGAGCUUAGGACUUUAGGCCUAUGCUGAAUUGUAGUUAUGGAGGAUUUAAGGAUUUUGUUGAACAGAAUGCUAAAGAUCAUGUGUUUAGGUUCUUUAAUGGAUUAAAUGAGAUUUUCACUAUUAAGAUCUUAGAUAAUCAUAAUGAAACCAUUUCCUACUUUAGACGAGGCUUAUAACCUAGUUCUUAGGAAGGAAAAUCAAAGAAAUAUAUGAUAUGCAAUUUCAGUUACCUGUCAAAUAUGCUGCUAUGAGCACUAUUAAUGAUAUGAAGCCUAAGGCUAGAUCUGAUCUGGUUUGUUCACAUUACAGAAAGAAAGGGCAUCAAAAGGAGAAAUGUUAUCAUUUAAUUAGAUUUUUUGCUAACUACAAAUUUACUAAGAAUAAGAACAAUAUCAAAAAAGGCUUUACAGAUUCUGCUGAUAAUGUCAUUACACAAUCUACUAGUGUUGAAGAUGAAGUGAUAGAUAAUCUUAUGUCUCAACUUAGUCUUUCAAAGGAUCAAAUACACAAACUUCUAUCAUUCAUCAAUAAGCAAGACCCUAAUGGUGAGAAUAAUAAUGUUUCACUAGUUAAUCAGGCUACCAAAAACAUGAUGGUAAAUUCUGCUCAAACUAGUAUGUUUCCUAAUUCUACCCUCUUAAUAGCUCAAAGUUUGAAUUCUUAUUCAUAUCUCCUUUCGAAUUAUAAUAGAAGUAAAGACUAUUCAUAAUUUGAUAACGAUGUCUGUAUAGUUGAUACUGGUGUUAUUGACCAUAUUGUUUGUAAUAUGAAAAUUUUUACUACAUUUACAAAGGUUUUUAGUAUGACAGUUCAAUUAUCAAGCAAAACUUAUGUUUCUGUUUCACAUAUAGGCAUUGUACAAAUAAGAUAUUUGAUUUUGCUCAAUGUUUUGUGUGUGCCAAAUUUUAGCUACAAUCUUGUUUCAAUCAAUACACUUGCCAAAAGCACAAAAUAUCAUUUGGUUUUUUCUGAUUUAUACUACAUCAUACAUGACCUAGUUACAUGGAAAGUGAUUAAGGGUGUUAAAGUCACUUAUGGACUAUAUCUCCUAAAAAGGAAGAUGGAUGCACAGUUACUUGAUCAAUUUCAAAAAGACAAAAAUAAGUUGUUUCCACAAUCUCAAAAGGACAACAAUAACAAUGUUGUGUUUUCUUUUGUAAAUAGUUGUGGUGUUUUGACCAAAACUUUUGAUUUUUGGCACCAUAGAUUAGGGCAUACUCCAUCUAGCAAAAUAAAUCAGAUUCAUCAAUUAUUCAUUGAUAUAUUUUCUAAGAACAAUCUUCUGUUUGAUAUUUUUCCUUUUACUAAAUUACCUUUUCCAAUUCAUGAAUUUAAUACCACUUUAGCUUUUGAAAUUGUAGAUGCUGAUAUAUGGGGACCUUAUACAAUCCCUACAAUUUCAGGUUAUCAUUUUUUUCUUACUAUUAUGAAUGAUUACUCAAGGUUUACAUGGAUUUUUUUGUCGAAACAUAAAUAUGACGUUUCAAUUGUUUUUCCUUCUUUUUACAGUAUGAUUUUUAGUCAAUUUCAAACCUUAAUAAAACAUAUUCAAUCUGAUAAUGGUACUGAGUUCAAACUAGUUGAUUUUUUUGCUUCCAAAGGAAUUGUGCAUCAACUAUCUUGUGUAAACAUAACUCAACAAAAUGGGAUUGUAGAAAGAAAACAUCAACAUUUAUUAGUUGUUACUAGGGCACUAUUAUUUUAGUCUGCACUUCCAUCACAGUUUUGGGGAGCUACAGUUUAGCUGUAGCACACAUUAUAUAUCAUAUACCUUUUCCUGUUUUGCAUAACAAAUUACCUUUUAAAGUUUUGUUUAAAAAACCACCAAUCUAUUCGCAUCUUAAGGUUUUUGGCUCACUCUGUUUUGCAUUCAAUCCCACACAACACAAAAAAAAGUUGGAUCCAAGAGCACAAAAGUGUGUUAUUAUAGGCUACCCACUUGAUACCAAAGGUUACAAGCUUGAUGAUUUAGUUUCACAAAGUAUCUUUAUAUCUAGGAAUGUUAUUUUUAAUCAACAAGUCUUUCCUUUCAAGUUAAUCUUAUCAACUUCUAAUUCUGAUUCCGUUGAUACUUCUAUUCACAUACCUACACAUAUUCCAUUUAGUCCUGUUAAUGAUAUUCAUGAUUUUCAUAAUUCCAAUCAUAAUAAUUCAACUUCAGAUUUUUUUUUCUCAAUUUUCCUCUGUUGAUUCUAUUUAUGAUAGUUAUUCUUCCAAUUUUGCCCUUAAGAUUUCCAUCUCCAAUUCACUUGAUAAUUUUGAUUCUUUCAUUUUACCUGACACAUCUUCAUCACCUCUUUUUAGAAAAAGUACUAUAGAAAGACAUGUUCCUAAAUAUCUUAAGGCAUACCAUCAUACUUUUUCUUUUCACACUAGUAUAGUUACCAAACAUCUUAUCACCAAUUUUUUGUACUAAUCAACUUUCUUCUAACCAUAAAGCUUUUUCCUCAUCAUUAUCUGAUAUUUUAGAACCUUAUCGUUAUUUUCAAGCUGUAAAGCAUGCUCAUUGGAGAGAGGCUAUGCAAAGUGAGUUAAAUGCCUUAGAACUAAUGGGACUUGGACUGUCAUGUCUUUACCUUCCAACUCUCAUGCAAUUAGGUGUAAGUGGGUUUACAAUGUUAAACUACAUGCUGAUGGUAGUGUUGAGUGAUAUAAAGCAAGGUUCGUGGCUAAGGGGUAUAAUCAAAGAGUUGGUUUUGAUUACUAAGAAAUAUUCAGCCUUGUAGCUAAACACACAAUAGUAAGACUUUUCCUAACUUUAGCUACCAUUAAAGGAUGGCAUCUUAUACAACUUAACAUCAACAAUGCUUUUUUUAAUGGUGACUUAAAUGAGACUGUUUAUACGAAAUUACCCAAGGAUAUCAAGUUAAGGGGGAGUGUCCACCUAUUAGUCAACCAGUUUGCAAAUUACCUAAGUCUUUGUAUGGCCUUAAACAAGCAUCUUGACAAUGGAAUUCAAAGUUCAGCAAUUGUUUAGUUGAGUAUGGUUUUCAACACUCCAAAGCUGAUUAUUCUUUGUUUACUUAAUGUACAGACAAUGGGGAAUUUGUUGCACUGUUAGUGUAUGUGGAUGAUACUGUGAUUGGUAGUUCUUCUAUGCAGCUUAGUAAUGCAGUUAAGGAGUACUUAAGUUUUAAAUUUAAACUUAAAGACUUAGGGAAACUUAAAUAUUUCUUUGGUUUGGAAAUGGUAAGGUUUCGUAAAGAAAUAUUUGUUUGCCCAAGGAAGUAUACCUUAUAUCUAUUGGAUGAAUAAGAACUAUUAGGUGCUAAACUAGUGAUCACACCUAUUGAUUACAAUCAUAAGAUGUCCUGGGGAAAAGAAAAGGAUCAGCUGAGAGAUAACACUAAAUAUAGGGAACUGAUAAGAGAGCUUUUGUGCUUAACUUUCACUAAACCAAACAUUUCCUAUGAUGUCCAUGUUCUUUCACAAUACAUGGACAAGCCAAGUGACAAUCAUCUACAACUUGGGUUUUUGAGUUUUAAAGUAUUUGAAGAAUGCACUUGGCCAAAGAGUGUUGCUUUCUACAAUUUUUGAUAUGAUUUUACAACUCUAUAGUGACAGUGAUUGGGCUGGUUGUCCACAUUCUAGGAGGUCGAUUAUGGGAAAUGGUAUUUUACUUGGUAAGUCUUUUAUUAGCUAUAAGGCAAAGAAGCAAAGUGUAGUGGCUAGAAGCUUUACUCAGGUUGAGUAUAAAGCAAUGUUAACAACCUAUUGCGAGGUCAUGUGGUUGCUAUUUAUACUAAAAAAUUUUCGUAUUGAUCAUCUUAGUGCAGUCAAGUUGUUGUGUGAUAAUCAGUCUGCUCUUCAUAUUUGCAAAAAUCCUACAUUUCAUGAGUGCACCAAACACAUAGAGAUGGAUUGUCACUUCAUUCGAGAGAGUGUUGCAGAUGGUCUUAUGGCUCCAUGUUAUGUGCCUACCAAAUUGCAGCUGGCUGAUUUGUUCACCAAGGCACUACAACCAGGCUCUUUUCAUUUAUUUCUUAGCAAGAUGAGUGUUAUUAACAUACAUACUCAUCUUGAGGGAGAGUGUAAAAGAUAAAAGUUACUUUUUAAUAUAAUUUUACUCUUAGUAAAUAUGUAAAUAGUUAUUGAGUUUUGUUACUGUUAGUUACUGAUAGCUGGUACUUUACAAUUUAGUCCUUGUGUUUUUCUUACAUUAUCAAUUUCUACUAGCCUAUAUAAAGGUUGAUUCGUGUAUUGAAUAUUUUUUUUUACUCGUGCAAUAAAGAAAAAUUCCCAAACAUGCACUCUAGUCUUCUCCUUAGGUUUCUAGAUAUUUCUUGAAAUUUCUUGUUCACUGACACAUUGUCAAUUUUAAAAAGUAAAGAGACUCAAUUUUUAUAAGUUAUUAUAUAGAAAUUAGAUCUACCACUUGCUAGAAUCCAUUGACUAAUUAUAUAAUGUAGCCACCAUUAUUCAAUGGAGGCUUUGUACUCCUAGGUUCAAUCUCUUUAUUUUGUGGAACCUUCAUUUGAUCUUUCGAUCUUCAGUCAAGUAUUUACUUAUUUUUCUUAUUUUAAGCAUCAUAAUUGUAUGAUGGAUUGCAUAUUGUCCUAGUUAAAAACGCUCAUAUAAAAUAUAAAAAGAUUCUAUUGAAUUUAUGCGGUCUUUCUUUGGUCUAUAAAAUCUUGUCGUUACCUUCUGGUUGUAGUAAAAUGUACAAAUUGCAUUAUUAUUCACCAUGAAAUGAUUAAGAAAUGUACAACUGUGUUGUGCGGCAGCUCGAUAGGCAGCUGGCCUGUGGUUCACUACAAUAAAAGGAAAAAAACAUGAUAAAAAGCCAAACUAAAGUUUGGUCUGCUCAUUUUGAUCCCAAAGUUAAGAAGAGAAAAGAACAAAGCGAAGAGGUCUAUGUCCAACACUAUUGUGGUAAAAGAGACACUGAUAGUUGGAUGACUUUACCGACAUGGAAGGAGGCUUUGGCUUUAAUGUUUUUACAUCGUGGAAAAAGUUGAGAGGAACCAACUGCAAGGGCAAGAGGAAUUGUGGGGCGGGGGGGGGGGGGGGGGGGGGGUUGGGGGUGGAAGAGAUCUGACCCACUACCUGUCAAUGUGUUGGAACAUCCAUAGGCAGUUUAGAAAGGAGAAAAAAAAUCAAAGUUGCUUUUGUUCUUUCCUUGCUUAGUCUUUAUAUUUCUUCAAUUUACCUAAAUUCUCAUUAAUUCUUCUAAUUAGUAGCAUUGAUCCACUUGCAUGCUUCUCUUCCUCCUUUUCCAUCUACUUGCUUUUGCUAGAGAUCAUUAUCAUGCACUUAAUAUUCAUAAAAUAACUAUGUAUCUAUCUAUGUCUCAUGCAUUUUCAAUCCUAUUUGGUCAAAGUAACCAACAUACAUAGUCAAGAAUGAAAGAAAGUAGAAUCUAAAGUGCCAUAAAAUUCAAGUUGACCUUGACCAUUGGCCAAUAGGAUUGGCAAUAUAUGAGAGGCAAAUAAAAAUUCUAUGACCAUUCUUCUUGAAAGAGAUAUCCUAUCAUGCAAUCAAUAAUUUUUGUUCUGUGUCAUGCAGCUUCAACAGUAGUGCACGUACGUAUGGCUUUAUAAGUUUAUAAACAAUGGAUUUUCUCUCUCUCUCUCUCUUUCUCUUAUAUCUCAAAGAUCAACAUCGAGAGAGACACACGGUGAUCGAAAAAGGUGACAAAUUAGAAAUAAAUUUAAAAUCACAAGUAGCAGCUAAUCGAAUCUUAAAUUUAGAAUCUAUUUGACCGAAUUGAAGUUCUUAUAAAAAUGUUGUCUGAAUAGAACUAUUCAAAUUUUGGAGAGCUAAAUACUUCUACUUAUUUCAAUAAAGAAAAUGUUUUCUAUGAGUCUGAACAAACAUCCAUUUAAUGUCUUAACAAAGAAAUAAGAGCCUAAGCAUGGAUGGAAAGAAGGUCUGUUGCAUUAUUGCAAAGAAAGAACACCAUUUUAGUGGGUGAUCUGCUUCGUUUUCCUCUCCAAAACUCAAGGAGCAAUGAAGGGUUCUUCACGUUGUUGAUUUUGGUGCAAAUGGACAUACUUUUGCUAGUUAAGUAACACCCUUUUAUAGAAGACUACCUUCCAUAUAUUUAUUAAGUAGAUUCAUGUCAUAUCUAGCUAGGUCGUGGCACUCUAAUGAUUCAUGUCAUUUAUUUUUUACCCCUGUUCACUUUUCUUUGGUUAGUGCACUAAAUAUCUUCAUUACUACAAUUAAUUGAACAAUUACCUCUCUAAAGAUGAGUUUCCAACUUUAACAAUCAAUAAUAUGUCCCUCCAAAGGAAUGUAUUACUAGUUCCAUACAAGAAAGUAAUUAGCAUUACCACUUUUCCUUAUAAUGUAGUCAUAAUCUUACAGUUUUAACCUAAUGGGUACAAAUUUUGGGUGUCAUAUGUUUCAUUUUGUUUUUACAAUUGUUGGAAUAUUCAAUUCAAAACCAAGCAAAAAAAAUCUAUUUUCAUUAGUUGAUAAAGAAAACCCAUUCAACAACCAAUCAUGCAUCAUUCUUUUUCCAUCAUUUUGAUGAUUAUUUAAGUUAAAAGUUCUUAGUCAUAAGACUAGGUAGCCUUUCCAACCCAACAAAAGCCUUAGUACCCCUCCAUGCAUAAAAAAUUUUUGUUGCCUUGCAAAGAUCCAAAUUUACUAAAGGUUCUUUUAUUUUCCACCUUCUCUUCCACUUAAUAUGUAGUCUGUCUGUUUUUUGAAGGGAAAAGAAAGGUCACAAAAUGCGGUGAGGUGACAUACCUUUAAGCAAAGCAAAGCACUUGUUUUCUCCCAUUGCGUACUUGAAAAAUGUUUUUUGUAUAAAAUUUCCCUUGACCAAAAGGCCUUCAAUUAUUGAAUUUACAAAAAAAAAAAAGCAUCACAUUCGAAAAAGGUUUUUGGUCAAAGAUCCAUUUAUCUCCUCUCAAAUGAAUCUCCUUAAACCAAUCAUGCAUUUGCCUUUACAGCUUUUAAUUCUUUGUAUGAUUUAAUUUGGCUCAUAAAAUAAUGAUGAUUAAAAUAGAGAAUGCAAAGUAUAUAUAUAAAUAUGAAAAAGAAAUACAUUUGCCUUUCCAUCAAAGGUAUUUGUAAUUUUCAUGGUCCAAAGAAAGUUAACAAACAGCAUUCAUUUAUUAUAUAAUAAUAUUUGAAAGGGAGCCUUUAGUCACAUAAUUAAACCAACCAAAUUCACCACUUUCCAGCUUGAGUACUAUAGAGAGAUCCUGUGAUUGAUUAAGUAUUCAAAAAAUAAUUACGUAAUUAAAAAUUUCAAAAAAAUAAAAAUCGAUUAAGUCUAGAAAAGCACCAACUUUUGUAUUUUUUUUUCUUUUUCCCAUUAUGUCGACCCGAUUGAAAUACACACAUUAUAAGAUCUUGAUUAACAUUAUCACUAUUGCUUUUGAUCCUUUAAUAUCUUUGUCAUCAAAAAGAUUCAAAAAAGCAAAUAUUGUAGUAACACUCAAUCGCACGUAAUAUUGUAUUGUAUCUCACUCUGCGAAAUAUUAAAUCUCUAAGCAUAAAACUAGGCUGGUCCAUAUGAACCCUAGAACAUGUGUCUCUUCAUGCCAAGAUUAGGACCUAGCUAUAUAUGAGCAUGCUAUAGUUUAAGAUAUUAAAUAUUAAUAAUAAAUUUAGUGAUAAUCAUAAAGAAAUUUUGUGUGAAGAAAUUUCCUGAAUUGGUUAGGGCUGACUACCUACUUUGACAGUGGCGUUGUUCUAAAGAACCAGUGCACUCCCUUUUUUUUUUUUUUUUGCGCAAAACGGGCUGCUGAGUGGUUUACUGUUGGCUAACUUAGAAAUUUUGGUAGAUUAACGUAUUAAAUCUGGGUUUUGUCCACACGCCUUGUGCUCGUGUCGGUUGGUGAAAGAAACAACCUAACAAUUGCUAGCUGUAAUAUUUUAGCUAAUCAGAGAGCAUCCCCUUCAUUUCCUUUUCUUUUUUGUGAUGUUAGAAAUUAUAAGAUUAUUCCUAGUUUUUCAUUGAUUAUUACAAGCUUUUGUCAAAAAUUUCUUUAGACAUUAAUUCAAGUCUUCGUCACCAUAGUUAUUAUGGGCACUCAUACUGGUUGUUGACAGGAAUUAACCCUGGUUGUUGAGUACUAAAUUUGUGGUUUAUAGUGGGUAUUAAUUGUAUAGGUAAACGGGUUAUAAAGAAAUACAUCUAUCCUCAGAAGCCAAGGAUUUAUAUUUGUGUAAUAAUAGAUGCUUUCCCAAAAGAAAAGACGAAGGGCCAACCAACUACCUGGCUUGGGUUCCAGAGGCCCAUCAUUACAAAAAAAUUUUAAAUUGAAAAUUGAGUCUAAGCCAGAAGUGGCACAGAUAGGCCCAUCUUGGACCAAAAGGGUAGAAAGCGAAAUUGAAGAGACAAUGUUAUAUAUUUAAAUUAUAACAGGUAAUAAUUUGCACAUAAUGUUAUAUAUUUGUUAUUGUUUUCAGGUUGAGGUUCAUGUUGAAAGAUUGAAUGUACUGAAGGCUAGUAAAAUGAAGGAGUUGGUAUUUAAGAGGCAAAAUGAACUUGAGGAAAUCUACAGAGGAGUUCAUAUGGAUGUAAACAGUGAUGCAGCACGGCAACUUCUUAUCAAUCUCAUAGAAUCUGGUUCUGCCAAAUUAUCUCCUUGUUCUGGAUUAUCUAUAUCUUCGUGAAACUAUUUAUUGUAUCUUUGUUUUCAUUUCUAUAAACAUACCUUUCUUUUUCAUAUUAUGUACUGAUUUUCAUUUAUAGUGUCACAUUUUGCCUUACAUAAUAACAACACAAUGAGGUGUAUGCUUGUUUGCAUGUUCUCUGUUAUCUGCUUCUCCUUUAGGAAUAUUCAUUUCCUUUCUAAAAUUUCUUUUUAUUUUUUUAUUAUUUUGUAUGAUUCUUUUUUGGAGCUUGUGAUGCAUCAUUUAAUUUAAUGCAAAAUGUGGUUUUGCUGCAUAGAUGUCCUUGUUUCAUCUCAUAUUGAUUUCUGUUCCCUGCAUCACAUUUUGACUUACAUUUACAUUUUGUAGCUUUUUAUGUGGCCAUUCAAUUUAACUACAAAAACAGUUUGCUAUUAACAUGUCCUUCUUCUCUCACAUAUUAAUUUGCUUUAGCAAAGUCAUAUUUCUAUUCAAUGGCAUGUUAUUUGCAUCUCAACUACUAUGUGCAUCAUUAUUGGAAUAUUUAGUUCUGUCCCUCUUUCUAGUCAUCAUACUAACUUUUUAAUAUUUUGUGUAUCUUGUCUCUGUAGCAUACUAUGCAACCUCUUAAUUUUGAUUAUGUAUAUGCAUCUCUAAGGACCUUUCUCUCAAUAAUUAUAGCUUUGCAAAACCUAGUAUGUUUUGGACAAUUAGAAUACAUGCACUAUGCUUUCUAACUGCUAGUUUACAUGAGUUAUGCAUGGGUUUUAUUUUGUCAUCUAUUAUCUCAUGAUACCCUGUUCCAGGUUAUGAAAUCCUUUUUUGCGGUGAACAUUCUUAACAAAUCUGCAACAAUGCAAUCUGCAUACAAUUCUUGACGUGAAAUUGUUGUUAAAAUGUUAUGUGUUUCAACACGCCUCUUCAGGUGAUGUUGAUCUGUCCAAUCUGCUUUCAAGCAUGGAUGAUGAGAUUACAAAAGCCAAACAGGAAGCUUUAAGCCGGAAGGAUAUUUUGGACAAGGUAGAGAAAUGGAAACAUGCAUCUGAGGAGGAAAAAUGGCUUGAUGACUAUGAAAAGGUGAAUCUUAUUUGAGAAGCUAUCAGAAUAUUUUGUGCUGUGUUCUGUGUUACAUAGGAAUAUUUAUUCAGAGAUCCUUAGGGUUGACUCUUGCACUUCACAAAGAUGCUCUAAAAUGUAAUCCUUAUGUUAAUUUGCUAAGAUCUCUAAAUUGUAGCAGUUUUAUACAAUAUGUGUACUUAGUUUCACUUUUUCUUUUUGAAAUCAAGAUCACUGUUAAGCUGUUAUGAUCUAGAGAGGGAUGCCUCCAUAUUUCAUAAAAUUUUUCUGGUGCUCCUAAGUUAUAUACUAUUUCUUGAGGUCAUACACACUAUUGACUAGUUUGAUGUUAAUUAUAUUUGCAGGAAUUAUAUUUUUGCAUAUUAAUGACUCCCCACUAAUUUGGCCAAAAAGAAAAAUGGAAACUCCCUACUAAUACUGUAUGAAAGAUAAAACUUUUUAUAGUGCCAUAGCAAUCUCAAAUUUAAAUCAAAUCAUAUUCAUGAGACAACUGAACCAGUUAAUAGGAUCAGCCUUAUUUCUCCUACCCCAUUGCUUUAGCCAGUGAAAUGUUUUGGAUAGUUCGGUUAUAUAGUAAACUUCUUAAAGAAGGUUGAAGUUAUUGAUGUACUGUUUGCAGCUACAACUCUCAUGGAGCUUAUCUUAUUUGAAGAAAGUAGUUUACAAAGUUUCACAGUAUAAGAUGUUGAUCUGAAAAGAUAAACAAAACGCAUGAGAAACAAUUCUAAACAAUAAAAAAAAUGAUAAAAACAAUGAAGCUCGUAUGCAUAACUAGUGAUAUGAAGAAUGCAGCUUAGUUACAACUGGCAAACCCGGGGCAGAGCUAGCCAAUUUUUAUUGAGGAGGCUAAAAACUAGGAAUAAAAGUUAAAAAUUUUUAAAAUUAAUAUGUUGAAUUUAAUUAAUAAUUAAAAGAUUUAUAAUAGACAAUAAUUUUAUAUAACAUGUUAAUCAAAAGAAACAAAAAUAAAAAAACUUAUAAUAGUGCUUUAGAAAAGUUUUGUUCGACGAUAAUAAUAUAUUUUUCAAUAUAAACAAUUAAAUUAUUUGUAAGAAACUUAUCAUCUAUUUUGUUUUAAAGUCUUGUUUUUCUCAAUAUAAACGAUUAAAAAUUAAUAUAGUCACAUCCAAUAUUUUUAUUUUAUUAUAUUUAAGUUUAUAAUACUAAAUAUUAAACUAUCAUGCAUAAAAUAUAAAUAGUUAAAAACGAUAUAUAAGAUUAAUNUAAUAAUUUAUUUUUAAAUAUUAAAAUCAUAAAAGAUAAAAUUCACAUAACAAAAAAAAAAAAUCAUGAUAAGUAAAAGAUAUAACCUAUAUAACAAAAAAAAAAAAAAAAUUAUGGUUGAUGAUUCGUAGAAAUUUAAAAAAAAAUCUAUAAAAACUUAAAACAUAUAGAAAUAGAAUAAAAUGAAAUAAAUAAUAAAAUUAAAUAUUAAUAAUAAUAUAAAUAGAAAAAAUUAAAUAAAAACUUUACUUCUUUAUAAUUUCACAAUACAAGAAUAGAAAAGAAGAGAGGGAAAGAUGGGUGAAGAAACUUAAAAAAUUAAAAAAAAAUUAAAUUUUUUUUUUUUUUUUUUUUUUUUUUUUUUUUUUUUUAUUUUUUUUAAUUUAUUAAUUAUUCAAUAAAAAAUUACUUUGAAAAAUUAUUAAAAAAUAUAUAAUAUAUGCAAAAUUUCAAAAAUCUUGGGAGGGCCAUGGCCCCCCAUUACAAAGGGACGCUCCACCCUUGGGCAAACCCUCAGUUGGUUUUUUUUUUUAAUUGAAAGAAAAGAAUUCGAACCUUACUAUUUAUGUUAGGGAUCAUACACAAAUUAAUUAGCUAAAUGUUCGGAUGUCAACAAACCCUUAACUGGUUGGCAUCUAAAAUGUUCAAUUCGAUUUAGACAACAUUAUUUACGAAUUGAAGAGUGUGGCUUGAAUUAGGACAAUUUGAUAAGAGUAUGGCUUGAUUUCGGACAACAUUUAAAGUAAAUGCCUGAAUAGGGUAACACUCUAGAAUGAAGCAAGGGGAGUGUAGUUCGGACACUAAUGAAGUAUUUGCGAACAACAUUAAUAUAUCCAAAUAUCUCAAAAUUUGGAUAUUUAGUUAAUGGGGUUUUUACUUUAUUUGUAUUUGUACUCGUGAAGCUUAAAUUUUAUUUUAAUUUUGACACCAACCAAUAAAAUGCGUACUUUUCAAAAAAAAAAAAAAAUAACCGUUACCAAUUAUUAUUCAAGGAGGAAGGUUUGGGUCUUAAUUUUUAUUCUAUACUAGACAAAACAGAACUUCCUUGACCAAAUUUGCCUUCAAUUGGGUGCAUGAAGCAAUGGGAAGAGAUUCUUGUGAUAAGAGACGUGGGUGUCGAUGGCUCCUUAAUCUGAAAUGACAUAAGCAAGAUGGGGGGAUUGAUGAGAAAUGAGAAUAGAAUUUAAAGAACGAAGAUGCUAAUUAACUUUGAUUGUUGUCAACAGUUUGGCAGAUGGGAGGCAGACUUCUUUGGAAUAUAUAACAUCAUACAUGCAGGUGGGGCUAUAUAUGUCAACUAGCUCAUAAAUUCCCUUACAAGCAAUACCAGCAAAUCCAUAAAAUUAGGUAUCUCAAAGGGAUCAUAUCUCUAAUGAAGAUGACUUGCACAUAAGCUAGAUUAUUGUUUUUUUCUUUUUUAUUAGAGGAAUAAAGAUUCGAGCUUAGUUUCUUUGAAUAGGGAUAUACGUAUUCACCGUUAAAUCAAUUGUUCGGGAUGUUUUAUAAUGUAAGUAGAUCAUCUUAAAUAAAUAGAGAUGUGAAUAUCUAAAAUCAAACUAUGUAUUUUACGUUACAUACACAAGACUAUUUUUGUGAAAAAAUAUAUAUAUUUGCAAUGAUAUAAAUCGCUGUGAAGUGUUGCGAAAAGUGUUUGUAAUUAAUUGGCAUAAUAUUUUAAAAUUUUCUUGAACUAUUAGAGAAAAUUUAAAUAAGUUUUUAUUUUUUUAUUGUGUUCAAUCAAACCCCUAUACUUGUAUUUUGAAUUAAAUAGGCACUUGUAACUAACGGUUCAUUAAGUACUGUUAGUUGAAACGUCACUUCUCAUUUUUUAUGUCCAUGUGGCACUGAUAUGGCAUUGAUGUGUAGGUUGAAAAAUAUUAUAUAACUAUAUCAUCAUGCUAUAUUAGUGCAUGACAUGUCAUCAUCCAUGAUAACAUGUCAGCAUACCAAUAUCAUGUGGUAUAAAAUGAUAUAUAAGAGCCUAUUUGAUUAACAAUAAUUAGUUAAUCAUUACUUGUAAAAGCUUAUUUGAUUCAAAAUAAAAAAAAUAAAGAUUUGAUUGAACGUAAUAAAAAAAUAAAUAUUUAUUUAAAAUUUUCUAAAUAAUUCAUGAAUUUUUUAAUGCAUUGUACCUAAUUGAUUCUAUUAUUCAUCACCUGUUUUGCAAGUCAUUAUAAAAUUUCUUAAUGAAAUUCUUUGUUAAAAACAUGUUAAUGUCCCUAAGGCCUAAAUAAGAGGUGUUCACAAUAAUACAUAUUUUGUUAAAAGGCUAGGUGGGCAAUGGGGACUUUUAAGUUAAUGCUACUCAAUCUGCCUAUGGAACUUUGAAGAUUGAAGCCUUAGAAUUUUUUACAAACUGGCAGAUAACUCAACUACGCCACCACCGCAAUUGCAACAAGCAAUUCUCUAAAAUGUCUGUGAUUAGUGCAAAUUUGUAAGGACAAGAAUUCAGUGUAAAGGAGUAUCCUUGAUACCGUAUGACAGAAACCCAAUAUUCCAUAGAAUAUAAUGAGUGUGAGUGAUUUAACUUAUCAGCAGCCACCUGAAUUCUGUAUGCUUAUCAUUCCAAUAAGUUGGAGGGGAGAAGGAACACCAAGAAAGUUGACAACAACUGAACCCAAAUUGUAUCUGUCUGUCUGCUAUUUGAUAACACGGGUGCAUUUUAUCUAGUAGCUUGGAUGUGAUUUUUGAUUAGAAAAUGAAUGGAAGCAUCAGAUUCAAAAACAAAAGAUGCAACUGAGAUUCUUGGAACAAUUUCUGCCAUUUCCAUGGCCUCAACUAGCACAGGGAAAAAAAAAAAAGGGUCAACCACUAGCACACCUUAGUGGAAUCUGAAUCAGACGUCAGCAAUUCUACUAUGUGUGUACUCACAUGAAGCAAAUUCCCAAACCAAAAAGAUUGUUUCAUUUGAGACCAAAUUCUGAGAAACAAAGAAAAAGAGAUUCUGGGAUUCUCUCAUUUUCAUUCAGUACAAGGGUCCUUAACAGCAUUAGCUUACAGCAUUACUUUAUAAUACCGAAACAUUAAAAAAAGAAGAAGGAAAAGCCCCAUAUAUGACAUAUGUCUAACACCUUUUAAAAAUGAUAGAAACAAAAUGGGGAUGUAAAGACAAAAAACCCCAUCCCUUAAUGGUAGAACUAAACUUUGAACGAUGUUUGGUCUUGGUUGGCUUUCAUGGGGGAUUCUGGCACGGGCAUGGCAAUGGCAACUGCUGACAGCUUGUUUGCUUCUGCUAAUUUUUUAAAUUCAACUUCAUUGGCUUCUAUAUCUUCAAUUACUAGGAUUGUGUUGCCAUUUGCUUGGAUCUUAACUGGUUCAGGGAUCUCUUCCUCAUUGACCUCUUUCUCCUUGUUUUCCUUGUGCUUUCCCCAGAGGACUGAAUAAAGCCCUAUAACUAUCCAGAUUGCUCCUAUCACCCUGCAAAUUAAUCCACAAGGGGAUUUGAUUAAUUCCUAUGCGAUUCAUUAAAACCAAAUCAAUUCAUGCAAGUGAUUCUUUUUUAUUUUUAUAUGUUAUAAGAAAAAAAAAAAGAGAAGUGAUGCUUGAUGAAAUAUUCAAUUGUCAGUGGUUGUCACUCUAUGAAAUAGAAGUACAAAAUUGUAUCUAAUGAUUAAGGAUGGUACAAGUGGGGGAUACAACAAAUUAGAAUAAGUGCAAAACCGGCUAUACAAGGAUAUGUAAGAAAGGAUACAUGCAUGCAUGCAGAAAAAUGUAACAGUGAGUGAAGGAGAAAUUAAAAUUUACCCUCCAAGAAAAAUCUUCUCUGCCAGGAUGAAAGACCCCAUGAUUGCAACUAUGAUCAUCAUCAGAGGGCUGAAAGCAGUGGCAAAUACUGGACCUCUUUUCUUUAUCACCAUUCCUUGAACAUAGUAUGAUAUGCUUGAUGUGACAAUUCCCUGUAAACAUUAAAAAAUUAGAAUAGAGACAACACACAAAAGCCACUUUUUUUAUAUGUUUAUAUAGGACUAGAAACAGAGAGAACAGAGAACGAGGUUUAUUACAGCAUAGGCAGCAGCAAGGAGGUUCAUGUCCCAGCCAAUUUGCCAAGCUGAGGUCUUGCGCUCCAUCACAAAUGUCACAACAAUAGCUUAUAGAGUGCCCACAAAGCACACUAGUGAUGUGAGAGAAAGAUGAUGAUUCUUGUAUGUCUUCAAUGCUUUUGCCUGGUAAUGAUAACAAUUAAACAGUGAAGUUAGUUAAUUUGUUGGGGAGGAGGGUGGGGCGGUGUUCUUGUUUUCUAAAAUUUUGCUGUUUAAUUACCUGUAAGACAAAGAGGGAAGCCCAGGCGAGGGUGGCAAUGAUAAGGAGGAUGGAGCCUUUGACCCAAUCUUUGUCAGUAGUUCCAGCAGUGUCAGUGCCGGUCGACUGCCUAGGAUGGAUACUCUUAGUCCAAAACAAUUCAACAAUGGGUCCUUUAUUUAAUGUCAUCAACAUUGCCCCUGCCACUGUCACCAAUGUUCCCACUAUCUUUGCCUGACACCUCACUUUCUUUACAUCAAUCUUCUCCAUCCUAUUCAUUACCAAACCAAACAAAAAUUAAAUUUGAAUCCGUUAGUCAGCCUUAACCAAAUCUACUCUGCAAAUAUGAAAAAGAAAAUCCUAGUUACUGAUCAUGAUUCAUGCGCAUACCGGCACAUAACAGCCAUGACAAAUGUCAUUGCAGGAAGGAUAUUGCUCAUAGCACAUGAGAAAGUUGGAGAUGUAUAUUUCAACCCAGCAAGUAGAAGUUCUGAUCAAUCACCGGCCUGUGUUUUUUUUUAUCAGGAAACAAUAACUUUGCUUUACUUUAAGAUUCCAGUGCAAAAUCAAUGCAUUUGAAAGAAAAGGGUUUCAGCUAAAAACUAACCCCAGAAGAGCCAGAAUGAAUAUUUGCAUGAAAACUGGGAAUGUUAUCUUUGAUUGCCCUCUCCUGAAAUGUUAAAACAUAGUUACAUUCAGCAUAUAUGUAUUUCUUGUGUGAGCUGAUCAUGUUGCUAUCUACAUAUUUCAAUGUUCUUCAAACCUUUCGAAAAUCAAAGCAAAGGGAGCUAUGACUGCAGUUGCAAAAGCAUGCCGGUAGACCACCAGGACAUAGUGGCUCAUGCCUCUGUUAAGUGAAACUUUGGUGAUAAUAUUCAUGCCCGCAUAGCCGAACUGCAAUGAAAUCAUUGCAAAGUAAGGUUUGGAGCUCUCCAGGAAGCUACCACAUCUCAACUUCUCCAUUUUUCUUAACUAUUUGGGAGAAAUUUGAUGGAAAAUUCGGAAAAGAGAGAGUUUCAGUUCUGAGAAGAAAGAGAUCUAGAGGAAAAGAGAGAGGAAGAAUUGAAC